AGACUCAGUCUCAACUCUAUCCUCAAGAACCACAAAAAAAGAAGUGCCUUUCACCUCCCGCUGGGAUUCUGAGGCCUCCCCAGCCACGUGGAACUGUAAGUCCAAUUAAACCUUUUUCUUCCCAGUCUUGGGUAUAUCUUUAUCAGCAGCAUGAAAAUGGACUAAUAAAGGAAAUCGGUACCAGUAGAGUGGGGCAUUGCUGAAACGAUACCUGAAAAUGUGGAAGAGACUUUGGAACUGGGUAACAGGCAGAGGUUGGAACAGUUUGGAGGGCUCAGAAGACAGAAAAAUGUGGGAAAGUUUGGAACUUUCUAGAGAUUUGUUGAAUGGCUUUGCCCAAAAUGAUGAUAGUGAUAUGAACAAUAAGGUCCAGGCUAAGGUGGUCUCAGAUGGAGAUGAGGAACUUGUUGGAAACUGGAGCAAAGGUGACCCUUCCAUUGUUUUAGCAAAGAGACUGGCAGCAUUUUGCCCCUGCCCUAGGGAUUUGUGGAACUUUGAAAUUGAGAGAUAUGAUUUAUGGUAUCCAGCAGAAGAAAUUUCAAAGCAGCAAAGCAUUCAAGAGGUAACUUGGGUGCUGUUAAAGGCAUGAGGCUUUAUAAGGGAAGCAGGGCGUAAAACUUUGGAAAAUUCGCCACCUGACUAUACAAUAGAAAAGAAAAACCCAUUUUCUGAGGAUAAAUUCAAGCUGGCUGCAGAAAUUUGCAUAAGUAGCAAGGAGCCUAAUGUUAAUCCCCAACACCAUGGGGAAAAUGUCUCCAGGGCAUGUCAGAGACCCUCAUGGCAGCCCCUCCCAUCAUAGGCCUGGAGGCCCAAGAGGAAAAAGUGGUUUUGUGGGCAGGCUCAGGGUCCCCAUGCUGUGUGUAGCCUAGGGACUCAGUGCCCUGCAUCCCUGCCACUCUAGUCAUGGCUGAAAGGGGCCAACAUACAGCUUGGGCUGUGGCUUCAGAGGGUGGAAGCCCCAGUCCUUGGCAGCUUCCACGUGGUGUUGAGCCUGCAGGUGCACAGAAGUCAAGAAUUGAGGUUUGGGAACCUCUGCCUAUAUUUCAGAAGACAUAUGGAAAUGCCUGGAUGCCCAUGCAAAAGUUUGCUGCAGGGGCAGGGACUUCAUAGAGAACCUCUGCUAGGGAAGUGUAGAAGGGAAAUGUGGGUUCUGCAU
rnacentral:lncRNA from 1 species